GACGAACGCUGGCGGCGUGCUUAACACAUGCAAGUCGAACGGAAAGGCCCUGCUUUUGUGGGGUGCUCGAGUGGCGAACGGGUGAGUAACACGUGAGUAACCUGCCCUUGACUUUGGGAUAACUUCAGGAAACUGGGGCUAAUACCGGAUAGGAGCUCCUGCUGCAUGGUGGGGGUUGGAAAGUUUCGGCGGUUGGGGAUGGACUCGCGGCUUAUCAGCUUGUUGGUGGGGUAGUGGCUUACCAAGGCUUUGACGGGUAGCCGGCCUGAGAGGGUGACCGGCGACAUUGGGACUGAGAGACGGCGCAGACUCCUACGGGAGGCAGCAGUGGGGAGUAUUGCACAAUGGGCGGAAGCCUGAGACAGCAACGCCGCGUGCGGGAUGACGGGCUUCGGGUUGUGAACCGCUUUCGCCUGUGACGAAGCGUGAGUGACGGUAAUGGGUAAAGAAGCACCGGCUAACUACGUG
rnacentral:rRNA from 1 species